UACGGGGGGAGCAAGCGUUGUUCGGAUUUACUGGGCGUAAAGGGCGCGUAGGCGGUCAGCACAAGUCAGUUGUGAAAUCUCCGAGCUUAACUCGGAAAGGUCAACUGAUACUGUGCGACUAGAGUGCGGAAGGGGCAACUGGAAUUCCUGGUGUAGCGGUGGAAUGCGCAGAUAUCAGGAGGAACACCGGUGGCGAAGGCGGGUCUCUGGGACGUUACUGACGCUGGAGACGCGAAAGCGUGGGGAGCAAACAGG
rnacentral:rRNA from 1 species